GAGAAGAAGAAAUGAGAGAGAGAGAGAGAGAGAGAGUGAGAGAAAGAAAGAUAAAAACCAAUGCAUGUUGCCACCAGAGAUCGCCGGAACCACCACACGCCAGCACAUCGCCAAGCUCGUCAUCACCAUCAACCGCAGCUUAGAAUCGCCGGAAACCGCCGCCUCUUAAGCUUUGUUUUCGUCCGUUCAGUAAAUCAGCUAUAUCUCCAUAACCGUUGAGAAUCUCUCGCAUGCAAGACCAUCAUCGUGUUCCUCUCGUCGAGACGAAGCCGUAGACACCGACCACGCCGCAAUCGGAGUUCAGACGAAGCCGUACGCGCCUCCAAAAGUUACGCCGACUGCGCGCGUUUCUUCCACGCGCCGCCGCCGGAUAUCGCCUCCGCCGUCUUCCGCCACCGUCCUCCGCCGCAUCUCCGCCGCUGCCAGAAGUCGCCUCCGCCGCAGCUCCGCCGCCGCCGGGAAUCGCCUCCGCCGUCGCCGCCGACAAACUUUCCGAUAUGGAGUCUAUUUGAGCAGCUGGAGUUCAUAAACACUAUUUUUCUAUUGCUAAGGUGAGACAAAUAAGUAUGUGAUAUUUGGACGGACUUGGUGCUACUGGACUUUUCUUUCGGAUUUUAUUUGGGCUUGGGUGAGCGUUAUUGGGUUUAUGGGCUUUUAUAUUAUGGGAUAUUGUUGGUGGCCCGUCGUCCUUAGUGAGAAGGAGACGGAUGUCACAUUGUUGUAUGAUGACGCGUCGGUGGUGACACGCUGUCCUCCAGAUAGGAGGUGACGGGUGUCGCAAUUUUGGUAUCAGAGCGGGGUUCCAUCCCGGUUCCGUCCGGGAUGGCGGUCAGGGGAUUCGGUUUUCAUCGGUUUUCAACGUUCUUUUUGUUUUUUUUAAAAAAAUAUUUAUUAAUAUAUUUCGAAAUUCUUUUAGCACCAUUCUGUCCAUUAAUUACUAACUCAAAUGUCUCUUUCUAUGACGAUGAGUAAAAUCAUCGUCAUUCGUCCUUCGACUAACAGGGUUCUCGCCAGAUGUUCAGCAGUUGGGCGAUGUUUAAGUUCUUCAGUUUUCUCAAGAGUUAUCAGUUUCUUCGGUCAUGAUUUCGAGGUUAUCCAGGAGUGGAUAUGUGACGUUUCUGCCACCAGCCCACUUCAAGCAAUCGUUCCACGAGUUUUGUUACUGGAGAUUAUGUGAUGUGAGGUAUGAGCCAUUGGUUGGCAUGUGUACGAGUAUAUUAUCUAUUUUGGAGGUAUAUUUGUCUUGUGAACUCGUGGAGAUCGCUUUUGAAUUGGGAUGUGCCGGUUCGGAUAGCUGACAUAUGACAUUGGGAGCUAUUUAUAUUCAUGGUGUCGCACCAGUUAUGCUUGGUGGAGUCGAGUUAUCUGGAGCCCCUCAGAGAGAUGGAGCAGAGUUUUAUGAUGUUAUUGUUUUUUUUGGGAUGGAUUGGUUGUCACGACAUCGAGUAGUGUUGGAUUGCCUGAAGGCACGAGUUUAUAUUGCUGGAGCAGAUGAAAUUUUUAUUGCAUGCAUGCUACAUACUGAGGAGUUAUGGAAUAUAAGAACAAAGAAAUUUUCGGCAACCAUUUCGAUGGUUAAGGAUGAUGGACAGCAUGAGCUGCAGGAUCUUCCGGUUAUUGCAGAGUAUGAGGAUAUAUUUGUGACCUUUGGAACGGUCACUACAAGACACAUGAGACGCUCUUGCGAAUUGUUUGGAGCAAACAUCAAUGGUUUCACGAGUUUCUUAUCAUCUAUCACGAGCAGGGAUGACCGAGUUGAGAAAGCAAUUGGAGGAACUCUUUGAUAAGGGAUUUAUCAGAUUGCUUACAUCACCAUGGAGAGCAUCAUUGUUGUUGUAAAGAAGAAAGGUGGGAGUUUCAGAUUUUUGUAUCGACUACAUAGACUUGAACAUGGUAACCAUCGUAUUGAUGAGUAGUUAUAUGAGAUUAAUGGAGGUUCAUCGUUCUCGAAGUUUGUCUUGGCAUCAGGAUACCAUCAGUUUGCUAUAGCUGAGGAGUAUGUACGGAAUGCAGAUUUCUGUUAUGGAUAUUAUGAGUUCAUAGUGAUACCAUUUGGGUCGACAAAGGCACCGUUGCAUUCAUGAAGAUAUGAAUGACGUUUUCGUGAACAUUUGGAUAGGUGUGCGAUUGUAUUCAUCAACGACAUCCUGGUUAUUUUGGAGUAGAAAGGAGAUUUAUAAGCAUUUCGCGGAUUGCGUUGGAUAAGCUUGGAGAGCAUCAGUUGUUCGCUACGUUGAGGAAUUGUAGCUUCUGGCAGAGGAAUGUUGAAUUUUUGGGUAACAUGGUUUUGGAAGCAAAAUUUUGAUUGAUCCAAAGAAGAUUAAUACCGUUCCGGGAAGGUCGAAACUUAAGAACACUACAGAGAUCUACCGUUCUUUUUGGGUUAACAGUGUACUACUAGAAGUUCAUCAAGGGUUUCACCGUUAUAGUAAUGUUGAAGAUGCAGUCUACAUGUAAAGACGUUAAGUGUGGUUGGAUAGAUUUUUGUUUGAGGAGUUCACUGAAUAGAAGCACAACUAAUGAAGACACUAAUUUUGGUUCUGCAGAGGCUGAGGCUUACUCUGAUGUGUCAGAUACUGGCUUGGAUUUAAAUUGAGGUAAGAAGAUUAAGUCAUUCAUAUGCAUCACGCCAGAGAGGUUGUAGUGGUAAUUACGUUAUAGUUUUGGAGAUCGUAAUUGUACGAGAAGGAAGUCCAGAUUCUAUGGGAUCAUUAGAGUCUGACAUUUAUCUACACAUUAAAAAUUACAAUUUGGCAGUGCAGUCGGAAUGAGUUUGUAGCAGGCUGCAGUUUGGAUAUCGCAUGCCAUCUGGUAAGGACAACCAGGUGACAAAUGUCUUGGGUAGGCAUAUGAGCGACGUAUUUGGAACAAAGGAAGGUCAGGAGUUUACUGGGACAGUUGCUAGUCUCAAAUUGUGUGUCGUAUUGUCAAGGGAAAGACAUAUUGCCUUGAGGAUUGGAGCAUGCAGUUUUGCUAUGGAAGAUACACCAUGCGCAGGUUAGCGUUAUGGUUUUCGUUGAAUAGAUCGAGAUUGAGAAUAUUGGAGAUCAUACAGCUUUGAGCAGGACGUACCUAUAUCGAAACCGAGUUUGUGUGUUGGACGAUAAGCUGUUAAGAAAAGGGAUCUUACAGCAAACACAUCACUUAUGUUACUCUACCCAUCGGAAAUAAUAAGGAGUUCAAAGAUAUUAAGCGUUACUAUCAUUGACCUAUUAUGAAAAGAUUGUAGCCACAUUGCGUCGCAAGGAUAUGUAAGUCAGCUGGUUUUCCAUGAGGAUUAUAUACGGUUCAGGUUAUUGUUGAGCAUGCUUUUGACAAAGUGGAAUGAGACAUGGUGAUUAUGAAUAUCGUUACUGGAUUUUUAAAUCACCGUAUGUGGAAAGGAUGCCAUAUGGGUAGUCAUGGAUAGACUUACCGAGUGAAUCCAUCUCCUAAAUAAUUUAGA